rnacentral:rRNA from 1 species
UAGGGAAUCUUCGGCAAUGGGGGCAACCCUGACCGAGCAACGCCGCGUGAGUGAGAAGGUUUUCGGAUCGUAAAGCUCUGUUGUAAGAGAAGAACGUGUGUGAGAGUGGAAAGUUCACACAGUGACGGUAACUUACCAGAAAGGGACGGCUAACUACGUGCCAC